ensembl:snRNA U6 U6 spliceosomal RNA
AUUCUUGUCAUAGAAGCAUAUAUACUAAAAUAGAAAUGGUACAGAGAAGAUUAUCACAGCCCCUGCACAAGGAUGACUCACAAAUUCUCAAAGUGGUCCAUAUUUUU